GCCGGUUCGAACCUAUUUACAACGUGGCCAAAGGGAAACCUCCGUGGGACACUAUUCUCGAGCACCCUAGGUAUCCUGAAGUUACGGUGACGUGGGCAGUUGCUGUCUGAGUGGGCGCGCAGACAAAAUGUUUUUGAGGCUUGGAGCAGGAACGGAACCAGGAAGUUGAAGUUGCAUCGCAAGUACCCCUGCGAAGACACAGAAGGACGGUGUUCUUGCUUCGGGAAUGGACGACGGAUGGUCUGCCUGCGUCGUAGCACUCGAAAACGGUUGACGUGCCUGGUCUAUCUACCGCAUGGAUCGCAAGUUCUGAGACGUCAUCAACCCACCGGACACCUGACUCCUGCACAUGCUCAGCUGGCAUCGUUCAACGAGGGUCCAGCGCCGACCAAUCAAAGCAUCACAAGAAGAACUGGAAACUGUAAAACCGAGCGCUCCCCCACGAUCGGCUGCAGUCCGGCGGAGCGUGUGAACCUGUCAUAAUCUCUUUUUCUUCUUGUUAGGUGCGCGAUUCCUGCUGAGCUGGCUGUGAAGAAGCGCAAGUUGGUUCCCUCUUUUCGUGUCAGCGACUGAUCUUGCCACGUGUGUCAAGGCGAUGCAGUCAGCACCAGCAAAAACGGGCAUCUCAUUCGCGAUGCUCGCAUCAUCAGUCUGCUCGUCGUCGGCCUGCUCCUGCUUGGAUAAAAGAGCCUUCAACAGAAUUUCAGCGUCACAGGAGCAGCUGUUGCGGUUGGAAGCACAGCUCUGAGCAUUGUGCCCACAUCGUACAGAUUGGUUGGUUUAUGUCACUGUUAGGUUACUUCUGUGCGAAUUCUUUACCACAACUUCUGCUGCUGCUGUUUAGGUUUCUUGUCUGUGCAUGCUCCGUCUUGCGUAGAAUUUGUUGUAUCGCUUCUUGACGAUGCCUACAAAUACUAAACUGGCAAGGAAAAUUGAAUUGCUUGAAUUAAAAUUUGAACAUCGCAUUUACCAGCUUGCCGACCAAGUUUUUGUAAAUGUUACUCAUGCUUCAGGAAUCAGGUUUAGAUGUCGGUAAGCUAAACGCAGAAGUUUGAAGAAUGGAUGACAGUAUGAAACUGCUGAAUGACAUUGCAGAAAGUAUUCGAUCAUAGAAAGAGAAUACUAGGCUGGUCUUGGAUGCCACAGAAGUUCGAAUACAACGUCCCUCUUCUCUUCAUGCCCAGCGGCAAACGUUUUCAACGUACAAGCACUAUAAUACUUAUAAAGUACUAAUAGGGUGCACACCAGAUGGCUAUAUUAGCUAUGCUUCACGACUUUGGGGUUAGGAUCAGUGUCGGACAAGGCAAUUCUGCAGAGCUGUGGGCUUCUUGAUAGAAAACAGCCUGCGAAUGCUAUAAUGGUCGACAAAGGUUUUAUAUUCCAUUAUUUACCCCAGGGAAUAACUAUCUGCAGGCCACCAUUCCGUGAGCCAAAGCAGGCAGAGAUGCAGCCUCAAGCAGUGGAAAAAACUCGUCGCAUUGCAUGUGCAAGGGUGCAUGUUCAGCGGGCUGUUGGACGCAUCAAAAGCUUCCACAUUCUUGAUGGGGCAUUUCCAAUUUCUGUGAUUGACAUAGCAGAACAAGUUUUCAGAGUGUGUUGCUUCUUAAGCAACUUUAAGGCGCCAUUAAUAAAAAGUGUAAACUAAAUUUUAGUAAACGUACCUGGAGAAAAAGUAGAAUGUUGUAGCUGCUCCAUAGUAGUCAGCUUUUUAUAGAAUUUGUUUGUCCUGUUUUAGUUAAUCCUGACAAAUUUUCUGUAUUUAGCACAAUAAUAAAAACUUCUAGCCCUUGUCAUCACUCUUUAAGUCACUUGGUAUUUGCACACAUUUAUUAGGAAUGCAGCACUGACCACUAGCAGGUUCUGCCAGACCUCUUUUGGAGACAACUUUAGUUUUCUUACUUUCAUUCGUAACAUGUCUUGAGGUUCGCACACAUAAAAUCCUUUCUUCAGCAUCUUGUGUGAUACAUACUGGCCUGAAGUGUGCUGCUUCUCUAGUAGCUUUACACACCCUAUGAGAAGCUCUGGCACAAGUGCAUGAUUCAUAAAAUGGAGUAGUUUUUACAUAUAUUGCAUCCCUCUCCUCUUGACAAAGGGGCUUCAUUUAUGCCAUGUGUGCAUUAAACGAUGCCAAUGCUCUGAUUCCCCAUACGUUUUCGUUGUAUGAAGCUCUGGCACAAGUGCAUGAUUCAUAAAAUGGAGUAGUUUUUACAUAUAUUGCAUCCCUCUCCUCUUGACAAAGGGGCUUCAUUUAUGCCAUGUGUGCAUUAAACGAUGCCAAUGCUCUGAUUCCCCAUACGUUUUCGUUGUAUUGAAUCAAGACCUCGGAUGGUGGUCCUUGAACUCUUUGUGGCUUCUUAUCUGCUGGUUUCAUGUGCCGCAGUACUUGAAGUGCUGGGUAGUAGGCCAACAGGUUCUCCUUUAAUGAUAUGAUGUCAUCUUGAUGAUGUGGCGGUAAAGCAGAACUGCACGGCUUUAACUUCCUCUCUUGAUGGAGUGCUCUGUUUAUUCGAUGAUUCUGAAACACGAUCUCCUUCAGUGGCACCUUUGGCACUGGCCUCUUUGCUGCAUUAGAGGAAACAUGCAUAGUUCUGCAAAAAACAGUUUGUUUUCUCAUGUUUUACUGCUGCACACAAACAAAUACGAAACCACUGUUGCUUUUGGUUGCUUCAAAAAACUGAACUUUAGCAUGUUUGCAGUGCAAAACAAAGAGGAACACGUCUAAUACGUACAAAAUGUUCAUAUUCGCCAGCCAGAAAGUUCAAAAUGUCUUA